CAGUUCUCACCAAGCGUUCACGAUGUCAUGUCUGAGCCAUGGACUUGGGUUGGUCUGCGGCGGGAGACUCCAAGGCUGGCGCGUUGGGGCGUUUUCGAGGUCCUGCCGUACGAUCCCGGCGGCCCCUGCCACCUGUACCUCCGCCUCGGCCUCCGACGUCGGCGCGAGCACCGGAACCCCAACCUCGGGAGACGCAGCGUCGAGCUACAAAAGUUCUCGUCUGAAGUAAAUAACUAACUACCUUUAUGCUCACUAAAACUAUGCACCCAUAGUAACUAUUCAAGACGUCUCCUUUGAAGACAAUUACUGUAUUCCCAAUAAUCGAACCAGAUGCUAUGGAAGAAUAACCUUAAAGGAAACACGGUGCCGAUGACCUAAUUUAUGCGUCGAGUAUUUCGUUCCAAUACAUGUAUACUACUACACCACCCCCAAAUACUUGUUCGGCAGGUUCGUCAUGGAGUAACAUGACUAGAAACCCAGUCAAUGACACCUAAACGAUACUCACGCAUACUUCUGGGACGGGAACAAUCUUCGAAUAAACUCUCCCGAUACAGAGAACAACCUUUCCUAAUGAACACAAUAGUGGAAACCCUAUUCAUGUAUCUCAAGCUCUUAAGAGUCUUCGUCGACUAAGUCGAACGAUGGUAAAUAUAAUUGUACAACUUUAAAGGGUGUUUCUUCGACGUGUUCAUAAUACCCUCAAAAUUCUUCAACCAUUGUAGUAACCUUGUUCUCCAAUGUGUAACGCCACGACUUUAUAGUAGUCUUUUAAAUGUAUGAAGACUUCGCUACCUUAGACUCCUUAGCCUUCCCAUAUAGAGCUGAUUUCAACGAGCGAACAAACUGGUUCCACCCGUAGAAUUUGGACUUCAUGACUUCGUCAUGAAUAAACGACCCCUCGCAAAGAUGGUUUCCAGGUCACUUGAGCUGUUUCUUUAGACACCGAAACUCCGUAGGUAGUUUUCCGGAAAAAAAGUACAGUUCGGUGAACUACUACUGGUUGAACUUUUGACCUUGGACAUAGAACUGAAACAACUCUUCUUACCGCUAAAACUAACCCGACAUUUUGAAAUACUCUCUACGAACUAGGGGACGCGAUUAAUAAGACUCAAAACCUAAGCGAUACGACUCAUACAACUACGGUUUCCACCGUCUCUCUAACGUUUGAUACGAGAACCAGCUCGGAGCAGCACAAAACACUUCCCUCAGGGCAGAAAGUCAUACAUGAUAAGUUACAAGUUUCUCGUUUAACCACUACGUGGUCCACGAGCACGAGAAAAACAACUUCCUUCGUCAUUAAGGUGAAGUCUAAAGACGUACUUAUAAUUAUCUGACCGGUUGUACCUCUUUGCGUACCCUUUAUGGUUUCGUCGAUGACUCUAUAUACUCUUACGUUAAGUCCUACGGUACGUUUUCGUCUUGUGACUUCAUGAUGGCCUGGACAUGUGAUUAAAACGCGUUAAGUUUAUACGCCGUUCAGUAUCGUAACCACUUCGAUUUCUUCAGAAACAGUUCCCUUAUUUUGUCCGUGGGACGUUUGGUAACUAAUUCCCUAAGUAUGUCAAGUACUCAUGUAUGCCUCCUAGAUGUCUUUAUGGAGACGAACUAAGACAAUAACGAUUACGGCACUAAGGACCUAGACCGCAUAGUUGUCGAAAUUCGGAACUUCUGGCACUUCUAUAGAGCAACAACAAAGAUUUCAAACAACUGGAAAUACCCUCACAGGUUCUUGAGUCUUUCCGUACCCGAGCUGUGUCGUUUGAAAAAGGAGUGUUGUGUUCCUUGGACAGUGUCGCCGUGACAUGAUGACUGACAUUGUUCUCCUCUUAUUGACUUAAAGACUCCCAACGAGUACUGACAAGAGGUCUUCCGUCUUAGUGUAAUUUUGUCAGUAGAUUUUCACUUUGAACAAGAACCGUUCAACUAUUUCUUCAGCCAAGCGUUCACCUAUACCUACGACAGUUAAGUCCUCCUGUCCCUAUACUACUACUCGUCUUGUGGCCCUGUCAACUACGCGUUGUCCUCCAACCGCUAUGUCGAGUGCCGGUUGUGUCGAACCUGUUCAUACCUUAAGUUUCGGUUUACAAAAGUGUACGAUUGGUUCUAUAGUCAGUACUAAAUUGACAUACGCUCGUUUAACUGGUCUGUUGUUAUACAGUCCGAAGCCAUUCACUCUUUCGGCGAGUUCGACUUAGUACGUUAGUACUAAGAGGAAGUUUAAGUUAACGACUAGGGUUCGUCUAACUACAAGUCCUGUUCUAAUUCCGGUAACUCGAUUUACGUCAACUAGUAGUAGGUCCUCGUCAUACGAGUUCUAGACUUGGUAGUAGACCCUGUUCGAAUGAGUUUCCUUCAGGCAGGCCAGGUUGAGGUUAUAAAAAUCUUAAUCUCUUAUUCGUUGAACUCUUUUAGGUCCAUUUCGACCUUUGUCUCGUACUACACAGACAGUCAUUACGUUUCGGUCUCUCGAGAUCACUAUUAGGUCUUCGUUGAGUUACACCAUGCCUUCAGAGACGUGAGUCAGUUCUGGUAUAAGUCAGAAGUGUCUGUGUUCUAGACAGUCAGCCGCGUUUUGGAAGGUCGAGUCUUUACCGUUGUUGUGUUUAAUGGUGCACGAGAGUCAAAAGAGGACUGUUACGUCACUGACGAGUUCGAGGGGAAGUCGUGGUGUACCUAUUAAGAGUUUGCAUGGUUAGGUAAUUGGGAAAAGAUCGACCUGUUUUGUACGUCGUCUACGUCGUCGUUCCUGGACGAAUACGUUAAAGAGUCUUACAAGUAUGUAGGGGUGUAAGAGUUCAAGUGGAGCAGCGUGUUGGCUUGGUCCCUUUGGUUGUCAUGUACCUUUACUACGUUCCCAUACGUAGGGUCUACACCGUUAUAAUGGUCGUUGUCGACAUAGUGGACGUCUGAGUCGUAUUAGUCGUCUAUGUCUCAAACGUUGUCGUCGUCGAAGGUUGGCUCGUAGAGGUCGUUUCGAAAUGCGUUGUCCAUGUUGUUGAUUUGGUUGUUUACCAUGAAACCGUCGUUGUCCAGGUCGUCGUCGUUGUUGUUGUUGUUGUACGUGUUGUUCAAGUCGUUGUCAGACUGUUUUGUGUCCCACUCAUAGUGAGUCCCCUAUGAUUUCCACUUGUUUUAUUUGUAGUCGUUGUUCUUAGACCUUAACUAGUUUCGGUCGUCAAGGUCGUCGUCGUCGUUGACGAAAUAAAGGUCGUCGUCGUCGUCUACAUGAAAUAUGUCGUCGUUGUCGUUUACAUGGUUGUUGUUGUUGUCGUUGUCGUCGUCAAUUACGUCGUCGUUGUCAUAGAAAGCGUCUACGGCGUCGUCUUUGUUCUGUACCUUGUUGUCGUCCUCGAGAAAGUCGUCGUUGUCGUCGUCGAAAUACUAGUUGUUGUCUUCGUCUACCAUCAAGACGUCGUCGUCGUCGUUCUCAAACGGGUUGUUGUCUACGUCGUCAUGGACGUUGUCGUUCGUUUGGUUGUUCACAAGUUCCUAGUCUUACCGCUCGAUUUAGUGGUCCUACGUUCCUUCUCCGUCGACCUCGUACCAGUUGUUAGACUUCGUAGUGUCUCACUACAAAGGUUUAACGCCUCACUACUCGUUAGACUCAACAGGAUGGGUAGCUGAGGUGUCAGGGUUGCAAGAUCAGUAACUUCAUUAGGUACAUCCAAGGUUCGGUUCCUAGAUACUUUAAGGUUCACUAACUAGAUUGGUAAGCUGUGAAGCUAGGUAGUUUCGUAAAACCUUUUCCCUGCAAAGUAGACAAGGUACGGGAUUGUCAUACGGCACAGACUCACCACUACGACUCGAAGGGGAAAGGGGACCACGUCUUCGAACUUACGCGCACUAACGCCAACGAGUUAGAUUGUGUAACUUACAACCACAGUAGGAUAUCGUAAAACACGGAAGAAGCUCUCGUUUCCGGUUUUAUACUUUUUGAACGAAUUCAGUACUCCUUACAGCCGACACUGACUGUCGAGCGGCACCAAGUAUCUCUCGCAAAGACGACUUUAAAUUAAUAAUAUAUCGACAUUUGAAAAACAUCGACAUUUGAAACUCUCGUUUCCGGUUUUAUACUGGCUAACACAAAUUAAUAAUAUAUCGACAUUUGAAAAACAUCUUAUAUUCAUCAUAAAAGGUACGUACAACGCUCUUUAUUUUCAUCCUCCUAAGUGAUAUUUCAGUCUUCACACCUACAACUAUCUUGAUCGUGUUUACGGUCACGUAACUUGCCC
rnacentral:rRNA from 1 species